UAAGAGGAUAACAAAAAGAACAACUUGUUUGAAAAGUUGCUUGCGACUUCUGGUAUUCACAAAGGCUAUUGUUAAUGUAAAUGCGCAUGCGCGACCGCCCAGCUGUGGAACAGAGGUUUUUAAGAAGUGCACGAUGGAGCUAUAGUAACUGUGACAAGACAACAGUAAAACGGAACAUACAAAUCACAAGGGUUAAAACCCAGGACUCAAACUCAGCUGAGUCUGACCCACACGUCUCCUCUCAUCUCUUCUGUGCAUCCUGAAAAGAAGGAUGAAUUGUGGCUGAAUGGAAUUAAUUGUUGCCAUGGUUGGGCCUGUCAUAUUAAUGAGAGGGUUCUGCAGAGUGCCUGCUCGUCCUUCCUCGUGCAUAGAGCAGGCGUCCAUGAACGUGCCUGAGUAGGACUGAAAAGGGGAAAAUCAAACCAGACAGGGCUGGGUUCAGGAGGACUGACCUGCUAAAAGACUCAAUCAGAGCAGGUAAAAGAUGCUGAAGGAUCUCUCUUUCAGGAAAAUUUAGGUAAAUAUUCUAAACAUUUAUAACUUGUUUAAAUGUUUAAAAUGGAUUUAGUCUUUACGGAGUUUCCAAGGUUUCUUUUUGUUUUGUCUUAUUUGGACAAACAGCCAUAUCAAAAAGCCCAUUUAAAAAAACCAUGAAUAUGUUACUAUUGUAUUCAAUCCCAUAUGCAUUUGCUGAUGUUAUCAAAUACAACCUAUAAUAAUGUGUUAUCGUAUUAUAAUUAUUAUAGAGACAAUUUUUAUAAAAUAAAUUUCUACAUUAAAUAAAAAAAAACAUAUUAAAGACAAAAUGUUCUUACUCUGCCUUUAACCUCCUAAGAGCUUUGGUUUGUCUUUUUUCAGAUUUCUUCCAGCUAUCUUAGGGUUAGGAAGAACCAAUAAAUAUAAUAACCAAAUAUUUUUCUUUGAACAUGAAGCAGUGCGUUCAACACUGAACGUUUGUAUACAACAGGUUACACAGAAUUAAAAAAAUGGCAUCCAGGUCUUAGGAGGUUAAUGAAAUACCUUUCUUAUUUUCUAACAGCAAGGGCUGUCAUAAAA